rnacentral:rRNA from 1 species
CGGAAUGAGUACACUCUAAACCCUUUAACGAGGAUCAAUUGGAGGGCAAGUCUGGUGCCAGCAGCCGCGGUAAUUCCAGCUCCAAUAGCGUAUAUUAAAGUUGUUGCGGUUAAAAAGCUCGUAGUCGAAUUUGUGUCUCGCGCCGCCGGUUCAUCGUUCGCGGUGUCAACUGGCGUGCCGCGAGACGUCCUGCCGGCGGGUCUGCUCUCUUGGGCAGCCCAAUUCAAUCCUGCCGCGGUGCUCUUCGUUGAGUGUCGAGGUGGGCCGGCACGUUUACUUUGAACAAAUUAGAGUGCUUAAAGCAGGCUAAAACUUCGCCUGAAUAAUGAGUGCAUGGAAUAAUGAAACAGGACCUCGGUUCUAUUUUGUUGGUUUUCGGAACCCCGAGGUAAUGAUUAACAGGAACGGAUGGGGGCAUUCGUAUUGCGACGUUAGAGGUGAAAUUCUUGGAUCGUCGCAAGACGGACAGAAGCGAAAGCAUUUGCCAAAAACGUUUUCAUUGAUCAAGAACGAAAGUUAGAGGUUCGAAGGCGAUCAGAUACCGCCCUAGUUCUAACCAUAAACGAUGCCAGCUAGCGAUCCGCCGACGUUCCUCCGAUGACUCGGCGGGCAGCUUCCGGGAAACCAAAGCUUUUGGGUUCCGGGGGAAGUAUGGUUGCAAAGCUGAA